rnacentral:rRNA from 1 species
AUCGAACGCUGGCGGCAUGCUUUACACAUGCAAGUCGAACGGCAGCACGGGUGCUUGCACCUGGUGGCGAGUGGCGAACGGGUGAGUAAUGCAUCGGAACGUGCCCAUGAGUGGGGGAUAGCCCGGCGAAAGCCGGAUUAAUACCGCAUACGCCCUUAGGGGGAAAGCGGGGGAUCUUCGGACCUCGCGCUAUUGGAGCGGCCGAUGUCGGAUUAGCUAGUAGGUGAGGUAAAGGCUCACCUAGGCGACGAUCCGUAGCUGGUCUGAGAGGAUGAUCAGCCACACUGGGACUGAGACACGGCCCAGACUCCUACGGGAGGCAGCAGUGGGGAAUUUUGGACAAUGGGCGCAAGCCUGAUCCAGCCAUGCCGCGUGAGUGAAGAAGGCCUCGGUUGUAAG